rnacentral:hammerhead_ribozyme from 1 species
AUCCAGCUGACGAGUCCCGAACAGGACGAAACACGCGUCCUGGAU